ACUUUCAACAAUGGAUCUCUUGGCUCUGGCAUCGAUGAAGAACGCAGCGAAAUGCGAUAAGUAGUGUGAAUUGCAGAAUUCAGUGAAUCAUCGAAUCUUUGAACGCACAUUGCGCCCCUUGGUAUUCCGGGGGGCAUGCCUGUUCGAGCGUCAUCUA
rnacentral:rRNA from 1 species